rnacentral:tRNA from 1 species
GUUUUUAAAGUGUAAAGCACGUUAGGGUUUCAUCUUAAAAGUAUAAAAUAAAUUUAUUAAAAAUA